rnacentral:circRNA from 1 species
AGUCAAGGAAACUUUUGAGCUAUUUACAGCUUGUAGCAAUUAUGUAAAGUAUACUCCUCUGAACAAAAUUUGGAGCAUGUUUGUUUCUCUCUACCUGAUUUCCCCAGAAUCUGGAAACUAUCUAUAUUUAUUGAGUGUCUACUGUGUGCCAGGCACUAUAUCUAUGUGCAUAGAAAAACCCUGGAAGGCCAUACAACAAUAUAUAUAGAGUGAUCGUCUCUGCUUGCUGAGCUAACAGGGGUGUCAAGCUUCCAUUUUGGUAUCUACUUCUAAAUACACUCAGAACAGGAGAAAUUUGGACUAAUUUUCAAACUACAGACACUUUCUAAUCAUGAUGCAUUUCAAAAGUGGACUCGAAUUAACUGAGUUGCAAAACAUGACAGUGCCCGAGGAUGAUAACAUUAGCAAUGACUCCAAUGAUUUCACCGAAGUAGAAAAUGGUCAGAUAAAUAG